CAGUUCCCACCUAUCUCUCUUUCAUUCAUCAUCGCCAUUGUUUUCGCCGAGAUCCGUCCAUGGACGACGGAGCUCUAGCUAUCUCUUCCGCUUCUGGAGGAGGAGGAGGACCGGCGCCGUUCCUUCUGAAGACGUAUGAGAUGGUGGAUGAUUCGUCGACGGACGAGAUCGUUUCGUGGAGCGCCAACAAGAACAGCUUCAUCGUCUGGAACCAUCCGGAGUUCGCUCGCCUCCUUCUCCCGACCUACUUCAAGCACAACAACUUUUCUUCCUUCAUUCGUCAGCUCAAUACAUAUGGAUUCCGAAAGAUUGAUCCUGAGAGGUGGGAAUUUGCUAAUGAAUGUUUUGUCAAGGAUCAGAAGCAGCUGCUGAAGAAUCUACACCGAAGAAAACCUAUUCACAGCCACAGUCAGCCACCCACUUCCAUAAUGGACCAAGAAAGAGCAGCAUUGAAAGAAGAAAUGGAUAAGCUCUCUUGUGAAAAAGUUGCUAUAGAAGCAAAGCUUUUGAAGUCAAAACAGCAGAAGUCAACAGCAAAGCUUCAGUUGGAAGAGCUGACCCAGCAGGUAGAUGAUAUGGAGAAGAGGCAGGAGAAUUUGCUGAAUUUCUUAGAAAAGGCCAUCCAAGAUCCUAUAUUUAUUGAAAAAUUUGCCUGUAAAGUUGAGCAAUUGGACAUCUCAGCUUACAACAAAAAGCGAAGAGUCCCUCAAGCUGAGCAUUCAAAGCCACAGUCAGAAAAUUCCCAUUUGGAUAAUAGCAGUAAUAGCUCGAGGCCCGAGCUUGAGAGUAUUUUCCACCAAAGUUUCUCAAAUAAAUUACAGUUAGAGCUCUCCCCGGCUGUUUCAGACAUUAACUUGGUGUCACAUAGUAUACAAAGUUCCAACGACGGAGGGAGCCCGAAGGGGAGACUAUCAGGAGGAGAUCCGAAAGGUGCUCAAACAAGAACAGAAGGCCUGUUAUUUGCACCUGAAGCACCUGAGCUUGCAGAUACCGGGUCAUGCCCAAGAAGAUUACUAUUAAAUGAGAAUACACAAGCAGAGACAUUGCCACUGAGGUUAACUUCUCCAGAGGAAACUGAUGGUGACUUUCCAUGCCAUUUAAAUCUAACCCUGGCAUCUGCUCCAUUACCCGCCGCCAAGACAGCUCCAUUGAUAACAAAGGCAACUCAGAAAAGUCAGGAUGUUGGAAGAUUUCCUGAGUUCAACUUCGAGUCAAGAGAAUCAAACGCAAGUGCGAAGAACACAGCCGCACAGGAAGCAGCUACUGGAAAGCAAGCAACUGUGGCAGCCUCCCCAGCUAGAGUGAAUGAUGUGUUCUGGGAGCAGUUCCUAACUGAAAGACCAGGUUCCUUGGAUAACGAAGAGGCGAGUUCCACUUAUAGGGCAAACCCACGUGAAGAGCAAGAAGAUGGAAGAACCGGCCAAAUGAUGUCUCGAAAUACAAGGAGUAUCGAGCAGCUGACCCUUUAAGUACCCAGAUAGUAUCAACACAUCUGCCAACAAGGUCACAUUGUCCAAGUCCAAGGGCUCGUCUUCAACCUUUUAGUCUCCUUUUUCAGCCACUCCCGAGUAAAAGUAAAUGCAUAGCCGAGUGAUACAGAUAUACAUAGUACAAGAAGCUGUUCUCAUUACACUGUGGUAAAGCCCUUUACCAAAAGUUUUGGAGGAGGAAUCCGAAUCUUGAAUCUUGAGAUGCUUUGAAGAAACUGAUAUUGUAGAGACCCUUUAUGUCAGAACUUGUAACCAGAUGGCCAGUUCUCGAUCUUUUCAAAAUCUUUUAUGGGAAAAGAGAGUCAAGUAUUUCAUUAGUUGAAAUAUGAUAUGACAUUUUCAAUAAAUCUGUAGUGCGAAUAAAUGGUUGGAUUUUGAUUUGUUUGGUCACCUGGAAUUCAGCUAUAA